GGAGGAGAAGGGUGGGGGUGAUAGGAAGGGAGGGCUGGUGGAGACAGGAGGGGAAGGGUGGGGGUGAUAGGAAAGGAGGGGUGGGCUAACAGGAGGGGAAGGAUUGGGGGACGGGAGGGGUAGUGGGGACGGGAGCUGGAGAAGGGGAAGGGGCUUGCCAGUGAUGAUGGUGGUCGGUGGGGUGACAGGGUUUUUGGGGUGAGGCUGGGAGGGGCUGGGGACGCGUGCUGUGGGACUCAGGGCUGACGGUAGGGAGGGGCCUGGUGGGGACAGAGGCGGGUAGGAGGGGCUCUGCAGAGUGCAGAUGAUGCGGAGGAGGCGGUGAGGGUGGGGCGGGGCUUGGAAUCAGGAUGACAAAGGACCGGGAGUGAGGAGACCAAUGGCUUGGUGGGGAGAGUGGGGUGUUGGGAGUUUGGGCAGAUGCUGGUCGGGCUUUGAGUCAGGAUGAGGGGGCUUGGGUAGUGGCUGGAGGACGAUGAGGUGAUGAGGUCGAUAUUGUGUCAUGACGAUGGCGCAGGUGACCAAUGGAUGGGUGACUGUGAGUUGUGUGUGGGUGACUGAUGUGACUGACUGUAGAUGACGAAGGUGAUGAUGACUUAGAAAUAAACACCUGGAGCAAGGUAAACACGGCAGGCAAUGCUCAAUAAAGCUAAGAGUAUAGAUUCUUAUCCAAAUAAUCUAA
rnacentral:lncRNA from 1 species